UUAUUAGUUUGAUCGUAGCCAGCAAAUAUAACCCGACUCCACUGGUUACCACCCUGAUAGAAUAUGUGGCCACAUCCAGACCUGUUGUUGUAUACAGUCAGUAUCAGGAGGCUGUAAUGGAUGCCUAUGCCUAUCUGAGAGAGAUGGGGUGUCUGGUGAAUUACAGGGUCUCAGAAACCUGGCUCAGGGAAUAUCAGAUCCUACCAAUGAGGACACACCCUGUGAUACAGAUGAGUGCUGGAGGUGGAUAUCUUCUCACAGCCACCACAACAGUGAAGAAACCAACCACAGCUGCCACAAUGUCAUGAUCAAUUGUUAGCAA